rnacentral:rRNA from 1 species
AUUGAACGCUGGCGGCAUGCCUUACACAUGCAAGUCGAACGGUAACAGGUCUUCGGAUGCUGACGAGUGGCGAACGGGUGAGUAAUACAUCGGAACGUGCCUAGUAGUGGGGGAUAACUACUCGAAAGAGUGGCUAAUACCGCAUGAGAUCUACGGAUGAAAGCAGGGGAUCGCAAGACCUUGUGCUACUAGAGCGGCCGAUGGCAGAUUAGGUAGGUGGUGGGAUAAAAGCUUACCAAGCCGACGAUCUGUAGCUGGUCUGAGAGGACGAUCAGGCACCCUGGGACUGAGACACGGCCCAGACUCCUACGGGAGGCGGCAGUGGGGAAUUUUGGACAAUUGGCGCAAGCCUGAUCCAGCAAUGCCGCGUGCAGGAUGAAGGCCUUCGGGUUGUAAACUGCUUUUGUACGGAACGAAAAGCCCUGGGUUAAUACCCUGGGGUCAUGACGGUACCGUAAGAAUAAGCACCGGCUAACUACGUGCCAGCAGCCGCGGUAAAAC